rnacentral:misc_RNA from 1 species
GUAGGUGAACCUGCGGAAGGAUCAUUAAAGGUACAUGCCCAGCUUUUGUAAAAAAGCCAGGGCAGUCCAAGAUCAACCACAGUGCGCACAUAUUGAAUUUUUCUGCUUUCGGUGGGCUUCCUCCAAUUUUUGGAGUGGUCCGCCGAGAGUCUUCAACAAAAACAGCCUGUACAAUUUGACUGAAAUUUUUUAAAUAAAAUUUAAUACAACUUUCAACAACGGAUCUCUUGGCUCUCGCAUCGAUGAAGAA